rnacentral:lncRNA from 1 species
AAAACUUGAUAUCUCAUUUAGGAGCUUGGGAAGGUCCGAUAUUUGAUGUUUCUCCACUAAUAUUAGAAUGUUUAGGAAUUGAUUGAUCAUGAUUACUUUCUGACACUCUUUUCUUGAAAAAAAAUUCGAUCUUUUUGUUGACCAUAAUUUAAUCGAAAAACCUGAAGACUGUAUAAUAUUUAAACAACAACAUAUUAGGAAAAAGA